UACGGGGGGUGCGAGCGUUGUCCGGAAUCACUGGGCGUAAAGGGCGCGUAGGUGGUCUGAUAAGGGUGUGGUGAAAGUCCGGGGCUCAACCCCGGAUCUGCCGUGCCCGGACUGUCAGACUCGAGGACUGUAGAGGCAGGCGGGAAUUCCGGGUGUAGCGGUGGAAUGCGUAGAGAUCCGGAGGAAGACCGGUGGCGAAGGCGGCCGCUGGGCAGUUU
rnacentral:rRNA from 1 species